GGUGUCUCCGGCUCUGGCUCCGGUCCUGGGCCGCAGUCGAGGUUCACGCCGAAUAGCCGGAGCCGCCGGGAUGGUGCUGAUGCUGCACUGCAACUCCUGUUAUCUCUGUCCCACUGAGAUUCUCCUGCAAUUGUUCAGAAGAAUGGUGUAAGAGGACCAGAGGAACGGGAAUAUGUGAUUAUUAUCUCACGUGGCAUUAGUCUUAUCUGUCCUGCUUUCUGUUCCUGGGGCUUCAAGUUCCCAAGCGCCAAAAUAUUCCAACAUUGGAAUGGGAAAUAGGAUCAAGAUUGGAUCUGCACAAAGAUCUGCCUUCUCCAAUUUCCAAAAGAAUUUUGAAUCAGAUGGUAAGAGUUUUGUUCCCAGAUCCUUUCUCUACUGAUGUGUGCACAAUACAACUUGUAGCCCUCACAGUUCCUCACCCCUAUUAGAUGCGAAUCCCCAUGCAUUAUUCUUAAUUUUGUUGUUUCCUGUGUGCAUGAACAUAGAAAUAUGCAACAAGUGAAGGUGAUAAUCACUUGCUACAUGCACAAAGGCACUGCAAAAGACUACUAUACUUGAUGGCAUGGCAUAGGUAAUCUUGAUUAAACUAUAAGUAGCCUAUGUUUAGCAUCUCUUGGAGCAUGAAACAGCAUGAAACCACGAACGAUUGAGUUCAGCUCGUUCGUGGAAUCUCGGCUACAAAAGCCGUGAAGGGUACUCCAUUGCCGCUCGAUGCGAAUGAUGAGCCCUUGUUUGCAAAAGUUGAAUAGACUUGUAGAGGCGCAUGUUUCAAUUUCCUAUGGUCUCAUGGGAUGAGAUCAUGAGACUUUAUAAACAUAUGUGAGUGCUGAGUUCCCAUUGCAAAGGUUUUUUUUGACCACAUUAACUUGAUGAGAUGACCUUGUCAAAAACCUUAAACAUGGAGAAAGAGAAACACAAGUAUAGAAAUUUACACUCAUAAGGCUCUUCUAUUAUUGGCAGCAGCAUAUUUGCAUGUAUUACAUUGACCAAGAACAUAAUCUAGAUACUUUAUUUCCAUGCGAAUUUGUUAAACAUGUGGCAGGAUGUACUAGAUUGUAACUACACGGGUACUGAUUUGCAACAACUGAAUAGUGCAUGCACUGGUUAUGAAUUUUGACCAAGUGCACAAUAUUUAAAACAUGACCAUGCGAGUACCAGCAGGGAACCACGCAGCAGGUCCUUUUCUUAACUCAAUCAUGGAGCUCACCUGCCCCCCAAAGCUUUUGAUAAUGUAGGUUUGGUUUCUCCAUGCACAUGAAUGAUUUGGUAUCUUGCGGAAUUGAAUACAAGAUAACUCAAGAUAAGGGGACACAUGCUAUUGCCCCUGGCUUUGUUUAUUGUUGUGGUGGUCUCGGUUCCCUUUUCGUACGGCCAUGCUUGUUUCGCCAAAGUCCAUGCAUGUAUUGGCGCUGAAUAACCUCGAGCGCCAUGUUACCCUCACUCUGCUCACAAAUGCCGCCCGUCGAAAUGUGCAAUUAAGCUUUGCUGAUUUUGGUCCUUUGAUGUGGUAUGCAUUAGCUAGCCGGAAAUUAUACUUACAAGCUAUAAGAUCUAUCCUUAAAAACGAAAUGUGAAUAUCAUGGAAAAUGCUCAUGUAUGCCCUGCAAAAUUCUAAACUGUUACAGUGAGUCCUGCUUGUUCAUUGCAAUCAUACGGGAGGAGUGGGGGCAAACCCUCACUGUAGAAUGCAGAUUAUAUUCUGUUGCAUAAUUGCCAUUCUUUGCUUGCCUUUUGGAAGGAGGCAAGCAGCAUCCUGGUUCCUGGAGCACAUCUCGCAAGAUCUCGGCGGCUAAACUUUCCAUCCUUUUGCGCUGGGACCAUUCCUCCAACUGAUGUCAUUUGUUUCUUCUUCUUCUUUUUCCUCCCCCUUCGAAACAACUGAUGUCAUUUCUGUGGUUGCUGUUCAGCUGUUCUACUCGAUGGAGGCUCGCUCACGUUCAGGACGAUCUGGAGCGACGCGUAUCUUUGUGCGCAAAGCAGAGGCGCGGAAGACGAUCUGGAGGUGAGCCGGGCCUUUUUUCCUCGCGCACUGAGGAGUGAGUAGUGAGGUGAUGAUGGGGAGAGGAACUGGUAUGUUUCGCAGGCGCCUUUUUUUGCCGUCGCAGGGCCUGCAGGCCGUCGUGCCGCUAUACCUUGUGUGUGUAUCUUUUCUUGUGUGUCAGCGGUGCGUGGAGAUAAAGGCUUGAGCUCAGUGGCGCGGCAGGGGGACAAAGCGGACGCAAGCAUGCGCUUGUGGCGAGGCGUGACCGUGUGAAUAGUGCCCGAAUCUCUCUGUGUGUGCAUGAAACUGUGAUGGGCUGAAUGGCUGAUGGCCUGCUUGGCUGUUGGCUGCUGCCGAGAAGUGAGCCAAUUGGGUUUGAGGUCACGGUGAACGCUAGGAAGUUAUUACUCUGUUACCCUGUCACUCAUGACCGCAUUAUUCCUUGCCACAUUUAGUUUACGUCGUUUUCCCUAGUCUUUUUCUUUUUCGUCAGCUUGUGACUGCUGGUUUAAUUACUUUUACAGUGGGAUGGGCACACAACACAUGCAUAAGAGCUCAGAAAAGAAGAACAGGGAGGGGUUUACGAGUUACCGCCACGUCAGCAUCCAUGCAGUGCAGUGCAGGACUACGGGAGGCAGCAAUUGGAGGAGGAGCGGUGAGACCGAGGCGCUGGCGUAAGCCGCGGGUAGCGUGCGGCAGGUGCCUUGUCCAGGCCGGUGUGCGCCAUGAUCGGGGUUCAGCUAGAACAUGGAGCAGCUCGCCGGCCACUUGGCUAGCUCUCGGCGCAGCUCCUCGCCUCCUCGCCAUCGUCCACCCGGCCCCCCACCCCACGGCGGAUCAUCAGGAAUGAUGCAAUGGAACGCUGCUGGUGUCUUGCAUCAUGUGCGUGUACCGUGUGUGACAGCAUGAUCCACAGUGCCUCAAUCAACUGACCUUGCUGCUGCUGCGACUGCGAGGUGACUGUGUGUGUGAGAGUGACCAUCAACCAUUGGCCGGCUCGCCUGCUCUCCGGGAGGGUGAACACUGAUCAGGACAGGGCUACGCUACGCUACGCUACACAGCAGAUGAUGGCACAUGCGCCUAGUCUCUGAUGGUUCCCAACAGGUGGUAGGGGCUGCGCCAAAUUCCCAAUCAGGUGACACUCCUGACCUCCUGAACCAACCAACCUACCAGCAAGCGGCGGUGCGUCACCGGAUUUCCGUGGUGGGCCUGCCUGCCGCCUGGGCUGCUGCUGAUCGGCGCAUGCCAUAUGGGCCUCUCGCAUGGUCCCUCCCGGUGGUUUCCCAUUCGCCAUUCCAUUCAUCAUGCAUGCGGCAUGUUUGUUUGGAGGAGAGAGCAUGAGCAUCCGGUGGAAAGCAGAAAAGGUGGCAUUCAAACUGUUCUGGUAGAUCCGGCUGAUGAUUGAUGCAUGGAGACUGGAGAGAGGUUAGUUAUGGAGCUCGUUAUUGUGCUAGCUGCAUCCUCUGCCCUACUCUACUCUAUCAUCGUGCAUCCAUCAUCUGCCGCUGGAGGUCAGGUCAGGUGCCCAUCGAUUCUUCGUCCUUCAUAACGUGUCCUUUGUGGCUGUGCUGCUCGAUCAUCGGCUGAUGAGGUCUGUCCACUCCAAAAUGUGAUCUCUUCCCUCAUCAAUCGCUCACAUGGCGCCGCCGCCGCCGCAACUUGCAUUGUGAUCUAACAUGGUUCGAUCCAGGCCCCUGACUCCUUUUAGUUUCUCUUCGCAUUCGUCGCAGAACUUCGUGGCACAAGUGAUAAUUGCCUUUGGGCCAGAUGUGGCGCCUGCAUGUUCCGAAACAGGGACGUCCCAUCCCCUGGUUCCUUUGCGGCACAAUACAGGAUUAGAUCCGAUGGAAGCUGAUCACGCGACAAUCAGUUUGCCCAAUGCUCCCUAGUUUUUCUAUGAAUCCCGUGUGCAAUUUGUCACUGCUGGGCUAAGCUAUCUACAUUGGACAAGGAUCAUGGUCCUCUAGAUAUGCUUAGGGGCGGAAUUAGAAACUCACAUUUCUCCUUAUUAGGAGGGCAAUAGCUUUUUAAAAUAAACUUAAAAUUUGAAAUUUUCCAAUGGAAAUGUAAUAAGUUCA